rnacentral:rRNA from 1 species
AACGAACGCUGGCGGCAUGCCUAACACAUGCAAGUCGAACGAGACCUUCGGGUCUAGUGGCGCACGGGUGCGUAACGCGUGGGAACCUGCCCUUAGGUUCGGAAUAACUCCCCGAAAGGGGUGCUAAUACCGGAUAAUGUCUUCGGACCAAAGAUUUAUCGCCUUUGGAUGGGCCCGCGUUGGAUUAGCUAGUUGGUAGGGUAAAAGCCUACCAAGGCGACGAUCCAUAGCUGGUCUGAGAGGAUGAUCAGCCACACUGGGACUGAGACACGGCCCAGACUCCUACGGGAAGCAGCAGUGGGGAAUAUUGGACAAUGGGCGAAAGCCUGAUCCAGCAAUGCCGCGCGAGUGAUGAAGGCCUUAGGGUUGUAAAGCUCUUUUACCCGGGAUGAUAAUGACAGUACCGGGAGAAUAAGCUCCGGCCAACUCCGUG